CCUCGGAUUUGCAUGGCUCCGCCCCCGGAACGGGACUCUCCCCAGGGGCCCCGCCCCUCGUGGUGGCCGCUCCGCCCCCUUCCAGAUCAGCCCGUUUGGUCAGGUUUACAUUUACUUAGCAUUUCUCAGCUUCUUUUAGGCUUUUAGUACCGUUUUUACACCACGGGAUGAGCAAAUAGGUUUAAAACACCGCGUAACUCAGGGAAAGAACAGAGUCUUGGGGCAGCUAUGCGGUACGAACUGAGUAAUUUCCCUGAUCCUGGGAGGAAACARGCAUACCUGGCGCGGCUUCACUUCGCGGUGCUAAUCUGCUCUGCCUCAUAUCCUCUGCUCUCAGCGCAGCCGGCACUUUAGGAUCGGCCUUGUAGCGCGAUGUGAGCGCCUCUCUGUUUCUUAAUCUCUUUUAGCUCGAGCAUCCCAUGAUUUUUAAUCAGUUCAAUCUGCAGGUUAAGGUACUAACUGCUGCUUUUAAAAGAAAUACCUCACAGAGGCUCCUAGCCUGUCAGAGAAAGGGCGGGCAGGCAGAUGAGAAGAGACCGGGGGAACCGCAGGGCUGCGGCGCCGCCUCACCACAGCGCCGCGACCCCUCUUCCCGCCGAUUUCCCAACGGUCGCCGGGGGGGGGACAGGGGGCGCUCGCGCCUUCCCCCCACACUGCGCCUGCGCGCCCCCUCUUCCCGCCAAUUGCGGGGGGGGGCGCCGCGGGCGCCUGCGCGUGUCGCCUCGCGCCCUCCCCUCCCACUGCGCCUGCGCGCCGCCUUUCCCGCUCCCUCCCUCACCGCUCCCUAGCGUCGGUCCACAGGAUGGCGCAUGCGCGCGGGGAAAGGCCGUAGUGCGCACGCGCUCCUCUGUCUCCCAGCAUGCACCGGGGCGGCGACCUAUUUAAGCGCUCAGGCGGGGCUGCUUCGGCCAUUUCCUUGCUGUUGCUGUAUGGGGAGGGUGAGUGUGUCCGGGCGUUGCCUGCUCCUGGGGCUGUUCGGGGGUCGCUCUGCGCGGAACGAGCCGUUCCUAGCGGCCGUUUCCUUCUCUCCUGAGGUUUUCAGACGUUUAAGGGGAAGCUCUGCCAGAGGUGUGGAACUGGUCAGCCAUGUGCAUCUGUGGUUCCUUCGCAGCGUUGUGCUCAGAGUCUCUGGGAGUGGCCUGGGUGUCUCCCUCUGCAGCCCCGUCGCCGGCAGCAUGAGGAAAUGGAGCCUGAAGCUGCGCUCGGACUGCUGCCAGCCUGAUCCCAGCUGCGUGGGUGAGUCUCCCCGGCUUGUGUCCAGUCCCGGGAGCGGGUGGGGGGCCAGGCCUGCGGCAGCGCGGGGGGCUUAGGCUGGGUGCAGCUGCCUGCCCCUGCUGCUGUGAUGAAUCAACUCUGGAAUCUCGUUCGGCUGAAGGCUGAUGUUGAGGAUUCGGACUCUGAUGCUCGGCUGGGGAACAGGUGUCGCUUCAGUGCAGUAGCCGCUGCUCUUUGGGAGUAUCUGAGGUUGGGGUGACCCGAAUUCCUGCUUUUCUCUCCCUGCAGGAUGAAAGCUGUUGGCUGGGGGUGUCCGGCAAAGCUCCGAGCAGCCUGGAGCGGCUGCGCUGGAUGGUGUUUGACGGAGGUAUGCGCUCUGGGCGCUGGCAGUGCUGAGGGAAGGGGGUCGCAGGGAGGGGGGAGUGCCUCAGCCUGGCAUCACCUUCUCCAUGGUAGCAGGCGACUCCCCAGUUCAAGCUGCUUCCUGCAGUUUUGGUGAUGAGGUGAACUAGCUCACUUUGACCUGCGUGAAAACACCCGAACAGCUGAAAAACUGCGGGGCUGGCGGGAGCGAGGGGGGAGCGGCAGCGGCAGGGCAGCACUGACGGCUCCGUGCUCUCUCCGCAGGUGGCCGGAGGGGCCGGGCAGCAGCAGCUGGUGAGUGGGGGCGCGGGAUGGGGCCGGGUCCUGCUGCUCCGGCCGAGGAUGAGACGAUACCGCCCCAGUCUGAUGCCCGUGACUGAGUGGUUCCCCCUGAGGCCCACGGAGCGGGGUGGCGGCAGGGGGACUUCUUCCAUGGAGGGUAACGGCUGCCUCAUCUGCCYGCAGGGCUGAGUCCAGGGGGAAACGCGGAUGCACGUCCUGGCGCUGGAGCCCCCCCAGAGCUCGUCCAGGCCCUGCUCACCUUCACCAUUCUCAGGGUCGCUGAGCUGCUGGAGAAGAGCUGCCUCCCUUGCGCGUGCCCUCUCUUUGUGUGAAUAAAAACACUUUCUUUAGUACUCUGGUCUUGUCU
ensembl:lncRNA